GGAACCAAAUCUUCACCUUUUGGAGAAAGCAAAGAUACGUUUAAGAGACGUUACCACUUGGCCGGUAGAUGAUCAUAAUUUACACUUUUGGAGCUUUGCGCUGAACAUCUGAGAACACGGCCCGUCUCAACAUCCCCCGCCUUGGUUUCCCUCUUGCCGCCAGGGGCCACGAGAAGGUCCCAGGGAUAGGUACCACCGCUGAUGACACUGCCAAACAAGAAAUGAACACAUUUAAAAGAACGCCUUAUGAUAUUAAAACGUAGUGGGAAAUGAA